rnacentral:rRNA from 1 species
AUGGUAAUCACAUUGUGGUCGGUAUGGUAUGCUCGUCGAAAAGCCAUACAUGAGGCGAUCUUUCAAAGCCGGGUGCAAACAAUAUCCUUUGUUGAGUCGUAUAUUCAUGAGCUGAAGCAGCUACAGCGACCUAGGACUCAAUCUACGGUUCCAAGUGCAGCAUCGCGGCGCCAAGAAGAAAGAUGGCUACCCCCCCCCCCAUCCGACUUUUGCAAGAUUAAUGCUGAUGGAGCAGUAGCCCGGCAUAGAGGAGGAGGAACCGUGGCAGCGGUAUGCAGAGACCAUCGCGGUGCCUACUUGGGAUCAUCUUCGGUGGCAUUCCCAGGUGUUCUUGAUCCGGUUAUGUUAGAGAUAUACGCCUGCAGAGAAGCUUUGGCACUUGCAGAAGACCUCAAUCUUCAGAAUUCCGUCAUUGCAUCGGACUGUCAGGAGGUGAUCAACGACAUCAACAGAGGGACGGGGGGUCCCCAUGCAGCUAUAGUACAUGAAAUCAUAGGUCGGAAGUCGAGUUUUCAGUUUAGCUCUUUUAUUCAUGAGCGUAGAAACCAUAAUUUCGAGGCUUACGAACUUGCCAAGUUUGCUUGUAAUUUAGAUCGGGGUAGACAUGUGUGGUUGGGUAUGUCUCAUAACCCGACCAUUGUACCGAUGAAUAUUGUCUUGGAAUAA